CUCCCUAGCAGCUCAGCUCCACGAACAACAGUAAGAGCACAGCAGCCUUGCUUUACCCAUGGUUUACUGUCCAUGGUUUCGGUUAGCACGGAGCAGUGCGAUGAGACAGAUAUUCUGAGAGUGAGACCACACCCACGUAACUUUAUCACACUGUCCUGUCCUGUUUCUGUUACCAGUUAUUGUGGGUAAUCUCUUACUGUGCUUAACUUAUAAAUUGAACUUUAUCAAAACCAUUACAUAAUACAUAUAUUCAUUCAUUACGUUAUUUGAUACACAUAUUCAGACAUCCAAUGAGGGUCUUUGAACACACCCCCUGAGGAUGAGGGACUACUGUAUAACACCAGAUGAGGAUAAGGGGCGGACUACUGUAUAUACACUGGAUGAGAACAAGGGGGGACUACUGUAUACACACGGGAUGAGGAUAAGGGGGGACUACUGUAUACACACCAGAUGAGGAUAAGGGGGGACUACUGUAUACACACACGGGAUGAGGAUAAGGGGGGACUACUGUAUACACACCAGAUGAGGAUAAGGGGGGACUACUGUAUACACACCGGAUGAGGAUAAGGGGAGACUACUGUAUACACACGGGAUGAGGAUGAGGGACUAUUGUAUACACACCAGAUGAGGAUAAGGGGGACUACUGUAUACACACCGGCUGAGGAUAAGGGGGGACUACUGUAGACACACCGCAAGAGGAUAAGGGGGGACUACUGUAUACACACCGGAUGAGGAUAAGGGGGGACUACUGUAUACACACCGGAUGAGGAUAAGGGGGGACUACUGUAUACACAUCGGGUAAGGGGGAACUACUGUAUACACACAGGACUGACUUUUUACAUUUAAAAAUCAGUGUGUUAGAAUUUAUACAAGAGAACUACUUUCUGCUAGAGGCUGCCCAGCUCCGCCCCUGGCUCUGCAUGGGGUCGGGGCCUGGGCAGGGGAGAGUGAGAUGCCUGCACCUAUUCAUCUCAUUGGUGUGGACACUGCUCAGAGUACCCUGGAUCCUUUUCAAAACCGCCCCCAAAGCCAGCACAGCCCAAGUCGCCAAGGCUGUGGACGGAGCUUUAUGGUCCCUCCCUUUUCAGAACUGGGAGAAACCGCCCACU
rnacentral:lncRNA from 1 species